CCCCUCUCAGGGUCAUACCCGGAGAAUUUCCAGUACUCUUCCAGUCUCGGCUAUGGGAGGGAGACUCGAGCAGAGGCCUACCCAUUCCAUUCCUAGCUUGGGCAGUGGCUAGCGAGUGGAAGGCAAACUGCUACGAGU